CAAUAGCGUAUAUUUAAGUUGCUGCAGUUAAAAAGCUCGUAGUUGGAUUUCGGGUGGGAAUGGCCGGUCCGCCGUUUCGGUGUGCACUUGCUACGCCCACCUUGCUGCCGGGGACGUGCUCUUGAGUUCACGCUCGGGACACGGAGUCGGCGAGGUUACUUUGAGUAAAUUAGAGUGUUCAAAGCAGGCCUACGCUCUGAAUACAUUAGCAUGGAAUAACACGAUAGGACUCUGGCCUAUCUUGUUGGUCUGUAGGACCGGAGUAAUGAUUAAGAGGGACAGUCGGGGGCAUUCGUAUUUCAUUGUCAGAGGUGAAAUUCUCAGACCCGCGGAAGACGAACCACUGCGAAAGCAUUUGCCAGGGAUGUUUUCACUGA
rnacentral:rRNA from 1 species